rnacentral:rRNA from 1 species
AGAAUCAACGCUGGCGGCGUGCCUAACACAUGCAAGUCGAACGAGAAAGUGGAGCAAUCCAUGAGUAAAGUGGCGCACGGGUGAGUAACACGUGACUAACCUACCCUGGAGUGGGGGAUAACUGAGGGAAACCUUAGCUAAUACCGCAUAAUACCUACGGGUCAAAGGAGCAAUUCGCUUCAGGAGGGGGUCGCGGCCGAUUAGUUAGUUGGCGGGGUAAUGGCCCACCAAGACAGUGAUCGGUAUC